CGGCAAAGCUGUGGCAAAGGCGGUUUAAAAGCGUUCGUGCCCACCGAUCGCACGUUCAGUCGAUCGCGUACGUUUGUCUGCCGUCCAGCGCAGAAAAACUGCCGUGCGCGUCCGUUAGCCUUCUCGUUGCCUUCGGUACGUCGUAGUCCUCCUGUAAUGGUCGAGUCUAGGAGACGACAUUGAGGAAAGUGAGGAAGUGAUUUGGUGCCAAUUCAAAUGUGCCCUUUGUCAGUUUUAAACGUGAACAAAUACAUCCAUUUGAAGGGCCAGUCAUUCAUUGAUUUGUGAAAAUAAAAGUACAAAUGCGGCAAACGUUGCCGAAAGGAAAGACGUGUGAAACAUCAUCUUGCGUUAGUGAUAUGCCGCCAGGAGUGUGCACGGUCUGCCAGAUAAAAGCCAUCUCGUGAUAACGUGGAGUAGUAUCGUUAAAUUUAAAUCUAUUUACUCUGCAUCACGCGGUAGUUCGGUGUGGGUUGAUAAGUAGUGACAAGUAGUUGGGGAGUGUGGUUGGCUGUCAAGCAGCAAAGUUGUUCAAAACGUGAGGAAGCCAGUACAGGAGCUGUUUCCAACACGCGUCGCAGCCUGCCGGUUGAUAACGAUUGAUCAGUGAUUUUGCCUAUUGCGACACGAGCAAAUGCCAACCAUUGUCAAACAUCUCGGAGGUAUCUCUCGAACCGGGCCAGCGGAUCCGUCGCGAACUGGACCCAUGCUGUAAGAUCCUUCGAUUGUACUGCGACACUAGCGCCUGUCCACCGCCGAUCGAGUUUUGCGAUGCUGAGCGUACCAUUCGCCCUAAGAGCAUUGCCGGAACGUGCUGUACACUGCAGCGUUGUGAUAACUUUUGUGAAGUGUACGUCAACGGAGAGGUGACAACGCGGUCGGUAGGCGAGAAAUGGUUUAACAUGGUCAACGAAAC